GGGUACCGCAACGGGUAAUUUCUGUAACGCUCAUGUUUGACCGUAUUUAUUUAGAAAGUUUUUUCAUUGUUUAUUUGAAAAUGGCUAUAUUUAUGAAAAAAAAUAUAUGUCUUUGGAAUAAAAAAAACUUUUACAAAAAUCGGAUAAGCCAUUUUCCGAAAAAUCAAACUUAUAUACCAAUAUACGGCUUGAGUCGAUUCAGUUGCACGCGAGUGUAGUUGGAAAAGCCUAUAUAAAAUGCCAAACUGGAGAAAUUACUGCAAAAAGCCAAGUCGAUUUUAUGACCGCUGCAUAAGAUUUUGAAGCGGAUUAAAAGUCUAAAUAUAUUUCAACGACAGUUGCCUCCCACACGGAUAUUCCUCUGUAAUUGGAGAAUCGUGAUACUUGUUACUCCUGAUAUUUCUUCUGUGAAGAAAUCUCUCGUAGUAAGAAAGAGAAUAGGCAAUACAGGCUGUAAUAUCGGCAAUAAUUUCAAGUUCUUCUCAUAAAAAGGACCUUGAUAAUGAUCAAGUUAAAAAUCAAAUAAAGAAAACAGCGAAAAAAACGUAUAAAAAAACAAGAAGAAAAUAACAAACAAGACAAACAAGAAAGAUAUGAUCGACAGUGACUCUUCAGACUCGGAUCCUGGUUCUAUAUCUGGUAGUAAUACAGACUCGUCCGACGAAUUUGCAACGACAAAUGAGUGUGAGAUUGUUUUUUUCUGUAAUUAAAAAUAUAACGAGGAUAAAGGUGUGAAGAAUGAAUACAGGGCUUAAUGUGCGAAUUGUGGGUUCACGGUGCUUGUGGUGGUUCAUUCCGGUUCAUACAUCCGUAUCAUUUUUGCCAAGCAAUCGAAAAAAGAACCCACUACUAAUGUUCAACAACUACACGUAUAAAAAACAGUGGGAGUGUACUUCGGGAAAGGUCAUCUGGUACUGUUCGAAGCGGAAAAGAGGAUGUAAAGCAUUUGUUCACAGCAGAGAUGGGAUAUUUACACCUGGCGAUCUGAUACACACGCAUCCAGCUCCACCAUACAUGAGAGGCAAUGAUGGGUCAUGGGUAAAGUUAUAGAGAAAUACACCAAAAGUCAAUAACUAAUAAUAAACGCCUAUAAUAAACACGUCACAAUCACUGAUUUAGAAAAUAUUCCCAAAAAUAAUAAAAAUCCAAAUUUUACCUUUGACACGCUAAGUCACUCUUUCAGGAAACUCGCUAGGUUCUCUAGGUCGCUAGGUCACUAAUUAUAUUUGCUCGCAAGCGAAAAAAAGACCAACUUCAAUUUAAUACGUAGGGAAAAACUCUUUUUGUAUUUUACAUUUCAAAAAUGAAAUUUCUCUCUCAGUUUCUCGCCCCUUUUCUUUUGUUUUUCUUUCCGCAAAAAUGGGUAAAUCCAACGAAGAAAUUCGAUAUAUUUUAGUUUUACUUUAAAAAUGGAAAAAAACAGCUCAAGCCGCAAAAAAAUUGUGACAUUUACGAAUCUAAUGCAGUGUCAGUAAGAGCUACACAAAAUUUAUUUAAGCGUAUUCAGUCAGGAAAUCUUGAUGUCAAAGAUGCAUUUUGUUUACUUUUCUUCGAUCUAAUACAUCGUACAAGUAACAAAAUGCAGGUCAUCGAAAAAAAUAGUCAAAUCAGCAUUGUAAGUCAUAACUCAAAAAGCACUCGUCAGAUCAUGAUCAGACUCAAAUGGGACCACACGACAAGCAUCAGAUUUCGAUUAAAAAAGGAAUCAUCAAAAUCACCCAGUAAAAGUUAUGAGAUAACCUACAUAAAAAAUAAAGUUGAAUUAAGAAACUUGCUUUUUUUGAAGUCGGCCAAAAUAUUUAAUAAACCAAAUUAUGGUUGGCAACAUUAGUAUAAGGUUCUAUAGUUCAUUUAUCACUUUGGUUACCUACUUUGUUAAACUGUUUCAAUUACAAAAUUUUAAGUUGACAGAGAUUUAUGUAAAUAUUAAUGAAUUUUAAGAAACAAAAAAGUAUUUUUUAUUAUCUAAAUGAAAUAUAUUUAGAGACGAUAGGUGUAAUUAGUACCUAUUAAAAAUUUCCUAGGAUAAUAAGACGAUGGGAUAAUAAAGAUUCAAAGCGAAAAUAUAUUUGUUUUAUUGGUAUUUAAGAUUGUAUAUUUAACGUUCCUGGCCAGGCUUUAGGAAAUGUUCUGAAUAUAACCUAAUAAAACGUAUUUUCUUGCAGCAUUUUUUAGAACGUCAAGCCGUGGCACAAGGCAGCUUGUUGUGGAUGGAUAUUCUUUCAUCUGCAGAAGUUACUGCUUGAACCACAUUAAAAAGAUUUGGAAAUGUGCUUCAAACGCCGACUGUACCGCCAAAGUACACACAAUCCAAGAUGAAAUUGUGUCUCUGAACAACGAUCAUAAUCACCCGUCGAACGCGCUCACCGCACUCGAGUGGAAACUGACUCGGCAGAUCCAUUUAGUUAAUUAAUUUAACUAUUAUGUGUAAAUUGUUAUUAGUAUAUCGUCCUUAAUUUAUUGGGUUUAAGGAUUGGAAAGAUAAAAUGAUUAUAUUUUAAUGGGUUUGACUCUCAUAAUUAAAAUGGUGAAUUAAGAAUUAAAAAAAAAAUUAAAAUAGCUGUUUCGAAAAAUUCUAACAGUCAUAUAAUAUGACUUUGACGUGACAUCAUUGUGUUAGCAAAACAGUCACACAUACAUUACACAAAAUGCGUUUUUAAAUUAAGUUGAUCUAUACCUACAAAAGUUAUGUAUGUACGUGCAUAACUUACGAACGACUGCACCAAAUCGCAUAUCUUUUUAACGUCUGUAUUAUCAGGGCACAGAUAAAAUAAAAGAAAAUAUUAAAAAAAAAAAAACUUGAUAUAUUCAAGAAAUAAAACAUUUGACGGUACUAAAUUCAACUGCUUUACUAUAAUAUAAGAAUUAACUUAGACGUAACAUUACCUCAAGAAGGACUCAAGGCUAAAUAGGAAAUGUUAUAACUCUGUACCUCUCAAAAGAGAGCGAAAGUCCAAAUUGUAGUCGAAUAAGCCUUAUAAUAAGGAAUUAAUUGUAAUAUUAUCGUAGGUUUAGUGUUACUGUUAAAGUUUAAGACAUAUUUCGAAAAGACACAAAAGCCACAUAAUUAUAAUAUUAUUAAGUUAUAUUUUUAUUAUUUUAAAUAUUAAUUAACGGUUGGCACUGUUUAUAAUGUUACUUUGCUUUUGGCAAUUUUAUAUACAGAUGUAAUUAUUUUUAUGCGUUUUUAGGAUAUAAGUUUUAUUAUUUUGCAAACCAUCAAAUGCACGAUUUUAUAUUUACACAAAAUUUCAUAUUAGCACUUUGCUAUUAAAUUACCUUGUAUAUAAA
rnacentral:misc_RNA from 1 species